rnacentral:rRNA from 1 species
UACGUAGGGUGCAAGCGUUGUCCGGAAUUAUUGGGCGUAAAGAGCUCGUAGGCGGUUUGUCGCGUCGAAUGUGAAAUCCCGGGGCUCAACCCCGGGUCUGCAUUCGAUACGGGCAGACUAGAGUUCGGUAGGGGAGUCUGGAAUUCCUGGUGUAGCGGUGAAAUGCGCAGAUAUCAGGAGGAAUACCGAUGGCGAAGGCAGGUCUCUGGGCUAACACUGACGCUCAUGCACGAAAGCGUGGGGAGCAAACAGG